rnacentral:rRNA from 1 species
CCUACGGGAGGCAGCAGUGGGGAAUUGUUCGCAAUGGGCGCAAGCCUGACGACGCAACGCCGCGUGGAGGAUGAAGACCUUCGGGUCGUAAACUCCUUUCGAUCGAGACGAAUGUUUUCCGGGUGAACAAUCCGGAAAAGUGACGGUACCGAGAGAAGAAGCCCCGGCUAACUCUGUGCCAGCAGCCGCGGUAAUACAGGGGGGGCAAGCGUUGUUCGGAAUUACUGGGCGUAAAGGGCUUGUAGGUGGCCAACUAAGUCAGACGUGAAAUCCCUCAGCUUAACUGGGGAACUGCGUCUGAUACUGGAUGGCUUGAGUUUGGGAGAGGGAUGCGGAAUUCCAGGUGUAGCGGUGAAAUGCGUAGAUAUCUGGAGGAACACCGGUGGCGAAGGCGGCAUCCUGGACCAACACUGACACUGAGGAGCGAAAGCCAGGGGAGCAAACGGGAUUAGAUACCCCGGUAGUCCUGGCCCUAAACGAUGAAUGCUUGGUGUGGCGGGUAUCGAUCCCUGCCGUGCCGAAGCUAACGCAUUAAGCAUUCCGCCUGGGGAGUACGGUCGCAAGGCUGAACUCAAUGAAAUUGACGG